rnacentral:misc_RNA from 1 species
GAACGCACCUUGCGCUCCUUGGUAUUCCGAGGAGCAUGCCUGUUUGAGUGUCAUUAAAUUCUCAACUAUACAAGUUUUUGAAACCUGUAUAGCUUGGAUCUUGGGAUCUGCGGGCUUUUACCAGCCGGCUAUCCUCAAAUGCAUUAGCAGAGCUUUUGCCGCUAACCUAUGGUGUGAUAAUUAUCUACGCCAUCGAGAGGCGACAUAUUGAAGCUACGCUUCUAAUCGUCCUUUGGGACAAUUAUUGACAAUCUGACCUCAAAUCAGGUAGGACUACCCGCUGAACUUA